AGAGUUUGAUCAUGGCUCAGGACGAACGCUGGCGGCGUGCCUAACACAUGCAAGUCGUGCGGUCUCGCCUUAAGCGAAAGGCCUUCGGGCUUUGAAGCAAAGGCGAGAUAGCGGCGGACGGGUGAGUAACGCGUGGCUUAUCUGUCCCAGGGAGGGGGAUAACGUCUGGAAACGGGCGCUAAUACCCCAUAUGCCGAAAGGUAAAAAGGAGAAAUCCGCCCUGGGGUGAGGCCGCGUCCUAUCAGCUCGUUGGUGAGGUAACGGCCCACCAAGGCUAUGACGGGUAGCCGGCCUGAGAGGGCGGCUGGCCACACUGGGAUUGAGAUACGGCCCAGACUCCUACGGGAGGCAGCAGUGGGGAAUAUUGGGCAAUGGGGGAAACCCUGACCCAGCGACGCCGCGUGGAGGAAGGAGCCCUUCGGGGUGUAAACUCCUGUUGUAAGGGAAGAAGACAGUGACGGUACCUUACGAGGAAGCCCCGGCAAACUACGUGCCAGCAGCCGCGGUAACACGUAGGGGGCGAGCGUUGUCCGGAAUUACUGGGCGUAAAGCGCACGCAGGCGGAUGCGCGCGUCGGCUGUGAAAUGCACCGGCUCAACCGGUGCACUGCGGUCGAUACGGCGCAUCUGGAGUGCGGGAGAGGGAAGCGGAAUUCCCGGUGUAGCGGUGAAAUGCGUAGAUAUCGGGAGGAACGCCGGUGGCGAAGGCGGCUUCCUGGCCCGCAACUGACGCUCAUGUGCGAAAGCCAGGGGAGCGAACCGGAUUAGAUACCCGGGUAGUCCUGGCCGUAAACGAUGGACGCUAGGUGUGGGCGGUUUAUCCGUCUGUGCCGAAGUUAACGCGUUAAGCGUCCCGCCUGGGGAGUACGAUCGCAAGGUUGAAACUCAAAUGAAUUGACGG
rnacentral:rRNA from 1 species